GUCCCACAGUUACCUGAAAGAUUGUGUUAACUAUUUCAAGAAACACACUGUUGGGCAUUGGUGUAUUUUGGAUCUGUGCUGCCCUAGGUAUGACAGAACUCAGGCAUCCCCUAAUUUAAAUUUGCCCCGACCCAUCAUGUCAAGGCCACACCUCUUCCUGUUAAAGACAUACUUUGACUGACAGACUCACAAACACUCUCUGAUUUGACACAAUCUGACAGACACACACAAUCACUGACAGACACAUACUCACAGGCACACACACUGACAGACAUACAUGAUCACUCAGACACACACACACACAAUCACUCAGACACGCAGACUCCUUCACAGACACACACUGACAGGCAUACACACACACUCACUCACAUACACACAGGCUCCCUCACAGACACACACACACAAUCACUCAGACAUAUACAAAUUCACUGACAGACACACAAUGACAGACACACACAGGCUACCUCAAAAUCACACACUGACAGACAUUCACACUCACUCAG